CUCACACCGGUCUGAACUCAAAUCAUGUAAAACUUUAAAGGUCGAACAGACCUUCUCUUAUAGUCUCUACUCUAUAAAGAACCUUUAAUUCAACAUCGAGGUCGCAAACUCUCUUGUCGAUAAGAACUCUCAAAGAAAAUUACGCUGUUAUCCCUAAAGUAACUUAAUCUUUAAUCCCUUUUAGGAUCAAUAAUUCAAAUAUUAUUGUAAGAACAAAAGACAGUUAUCUUUUCCUUAUAUCCUUGUCGCCCCAACAAAACAAUUUAAAAUAGUAACCUUAAAAUAAAAUUGAUCUCCAUCUCAAAAUAUAAAGUUUUAUAGGGUCUUAUCGUCCCCUUAGAUCAUUUAAGCCUUUUCACUUAAAAGUUAAAUUCAAUAUAUUAAUUUAAGACAGAUUAUUUCUUGUCCAACCAUUCAUUCUAGCCUUCAAUUAAAAAACUAAUGAUUAUGCUACCUUUGCACGGUCAUAAUACCGCGGCCUUUCAGUUCUCCAAC
rnacentral:rRNA from 1 species